UGGCUCAACUGUUACCCCUUGUUAGCUAGCAAAUAGGUCCAAGCUGGCUCAACUGUUACACCUUGUUAGCUAGCAAAUAGGUCCAAGCUGGCUCAACUGUUACACCUUGUUAGCUAGCAAAUAGGUCCAAGCUGGCUCAACUGUUACCCCUUGUUAGCUAGCAAAUAGGUCCAAGCUGGCUCAACUGUUACACCUUGUUAGCUAGCAAAUGGGUCCAAGCUGGCUCAACUGUUAUACCUUGUUAGCUAGCAAAUAGGUCCAAGCUGGCUCAACUGUUACCCCUUGUUAGCUAGCAAAUAGGUCCAAGCUGGCUCAACUGUUAUACCUUGUUAGCUAGCAAAUAGGUCCAAGCUGGCUCAACUGUUACCCCUUGUUAGCUAACAAAUAGGUCCAAGCUGGCUCAACUGUUAUACCUUGUUAGCUAGCAAAUGGAUCCAAGCUGGCUCAACUGUUAUACCUUGUUAGCUAGCAAAUAGGUCCAAGCUGGCUCAACUGUUACCCCUUGUUAGCUAGCAAAUGGAUCCAAGCUGGCUCAACUGUUAUACCUUGUUAGCUAGCAAAUAGGUCCAAGCUGGCUCAACUGUUACACCUUGUUAGCUAGCAAAUAGGUCCAAGCUGGCUCAACUGUUAUACCUUGUUAGCUAGCAAAUAGGUCCAAGCUGGCUCAACUGUUACACCUUGUUAGCUAGCAAAUAGGUCCAAGCUGGCUCAACUGUUACACCUUGUUAGCUAGCAAAUAGGUCCAAGCUGGCUCAACUGUUACACCUUGUUAGCUAGCAAAUAGGUCCAAGCUGGCUCAACUGUUACCCCUUGUUAGCUAGCAAAUAGGUCCAAGCUGGCUCAACUGUUACCCCUUGUUAGCUAGCAAAUAGGUCCAAGCUGGCUCAACUGUUACCCCUUGUUAGCUAGCAAAUAGGUCCAAGCUGGCUCAACUGUUACCCCUUGUUAGCUAGCAAAUAGGUCCAAGCUGGCUCAACUGUUACCCCUUGUUAGCUAGCAAAUAGGUCCAAGCUGGCUCAACUGUUACACCUUGUUAGCUAGCAAAUAGGUCCAAGCUGGCUCAACUGUUACCCCUUGUUAGCUAGCAAAUAGAUCCAAGCUGGCUCAACUGUUACCCCUUGUUAGCUAGCAAAUAGGUCCAAGCUGGCUCAACUGUUAUACCUUGUUAGCUAGCAAAUAGAUCCAAGCUGGCUCAACUGUUACACCUUGUUAGCUAGCAAAUAGGUCCAAGCUGGCUCAACUGUUACCCCUUGUUAGCUAGCAAAUAGGUCCAAGCUGGCUCAACUGUUACACCUUGUUAGCUAGCAAAUAGGUCCAAGCUGGCUCAACUGUUACCCCUUGUUAGCUAGCAAAUAGGUGCAAGCUGGCUCAAUUGUUACCCCUUGUUAGCUAGCAAAUAGGUCCAAGCUGGCUCAACUGUUACCCCUUGUUAGCUAGCAAAUAGGUCCAAGCUGGCUCAACUGUUACCCCUUGUUAGCUAGCAAAUGGAUCCAAGCUGGCUCAACUGUUACCCCUUGUUAGCUAGCAAAUAGGUCCAAGCUGGCUCAACUGUUACCCCUUGUUAGCUAGCAAAUAGGUCCAAGCUGGCUCAACUGUUACCCCUUGUUAGCUAGCAAAUAGGUCCAAGCUGGCUCAACUGUUACCCCUUGUUAGCUAGCAAAUAGGUCCAAGCUGGCUCAACUGUUACACCUUGUUAGCUAGCAAAUAGAUCCAAGCUGGCUCAACUGUUAUACCUUGUUAGCUAGCAAAUGGAUCCAAGCUGGCUCAACUGUUAUACCUUGUUAGCUAGCAAAUGGAUCCAAGCUGGCUCAACUGUUAACCCUUGUUAGCUAGCAAAUAGGUCCAAGCUGGCUCAACUGUUACCCCUUGUUAGCUAGCAAAUAGGUCCAAGCUGGCUCAACUGUUAUACCUUGUUAGCUAGCAAAUAGGUCCAAGCUGGCUCAACUGUUACCCCUUGUUAGCUAGCAAAUAGGUCCAAGCUGGCUCAACUGUUACCCCUUGUUAGCUAGCAAAUAGGUCCAAGCUGGCUCAACUGUUACACCUUGUUAGCUAGCAAAUAGGUCCAAGCUGGCUCAACUGUUACACCUUGUUAGCUAGCAAAUAGAUCCAAGCUGGCUCAACUGUUACACCUUGUUAGCUAGCAAAUAGGUCCAAGCUGGCUCAACUGUUACCCCUUGUUAGCUAGCAAAUAGAUCCAAGCUGGCUCAACUGUUAUACCUUGUUAGCUAGCAAAUAGGUCCAAGCUGGCUCAACUGUUACCCCUUGUUAGCUAGCAAAUAGGUCCAAGCUGGCUCAACUGUUACCCCUUGUUAGCUAGCAAAUAGGUCCAAGCUGGCUCAACUGUUACCCCUUGUUAGCUAGCAAAUAGGUCCAAGCUGGCUCAACUGUUACCCCUUGUUAGCUAGCAAAUAGGUCCAAGCUGGCUCAACUGUUACACCUUGUUAGCUAGCAAAUAGGUCCAAGCUGGCUCAACUGUUACCCCUUGUUAGCUAGCAAAUGGAUCCAAGCUGGCUCAACUGUUAUACCUUGUUAGCUAGCAAAUAGGUCCAAGCUGGCUCAACUGUUACACCUUGUUAGCUAGCAAAUAGGUCCAAGCUGGCUCAACUGUUAUACCUUGUUAGCUAGCAAAUAGGUCCAAGCUGGCUCAACUGUUACACCUUGUUAGCUAGCAAAUAGGUCCAAGCUGGCUCAACUGUUACACCUUGUUAGCUAGCAAAUAGGUCCAAGCUGGCUCAACUGUUACACCUUGUUAGCUAGCAAAUAGGUCCAAGCUGGCUCAACUGUUACCCCUUGUUAGCUAGCAAAUAGGUCCAAGCUGGCUCAACUGUUACCCCUUGUUAGCUAGCAAAUAGGUCCAAGCUGGCUC